UCAACUUUUACUUAAUUUACACAUGCGAGUCUCCGCACCCCCGUGAAAACGCCCUUACCCCCCUUCAGGAAUAAGGAGCCGGUAUCAGGCACAAUAAUCUGCCCAAAACACCUAGCCACGCCACCCCCACAAGGGCCUUCAGCAGUGAUAAACAUUGAAUAUAAGUGACAACUUGAUUCAGUUAAAGUAAAUAGGGCCGGCAAAUCUGGUGCCAGCCGCCGCGGUUACACCAUAUGGCUCAAAUUGAUUUAAAUCGGCGUAAAGCGUGAUUAAAGCCCCCUUUUUAUUAGAGCUAAACUUAAAUCUUCCUGUCAUAAGCUUAUUUAUUUCUUAACCCAAACAACGAAAGUUACUCUAAGCCCCCAACUUGAAUUCACGAAAACUUGGGCACAAACUGGGAUUAGAUACCCCACUAUGCCAAGUCGUAAACUUUAACUUACACCACCACCCCCGCCAGGAAACUACGAGCUAAGCUUAAAACCCAAAGGACUUGACGGUACCCCACAUCCCCCUAGAGGAGCCUGUCCCAUAAUUGAUAACCCCCGCUAAACCUCACCACUCUUAGCCUAUCAGCCUGUAUACUUCCGUCGUCAGCUAACCACAUGAGUGAAACUCAGUAGGCCCAAUGGCAACCCGCCAAAACGUCAGGUCAAAGUGCAGCAAACAGAGUGGGAUCAGAUGGGCUACACUUUCUAAUAUAGAAAAUACGAAAGACUACGUGAAACCUGAGUCAGAAGGUGGAUUUAGAAGUAAAAAGAAGUCAGAGAAUUCUUUUUAACCUGGUACUGGGGUGUGUACACACCGCCCGUCACCCUCUUCAAAGCACCACACAAUAGUAAUUAACCCCAACACGCAACCUAGAAGAGGUAAGUCGU
rnacentral:ncRNA from 1 species